CUGAUUGCUGAUCGAAUGAAUAAUGGAUUGGAUGAAUAAUGUUUGCGGACGUGUCUUUGUGUAGGUUUACUGUCUUACCAAAACACUUCUCUGGAUGAGUGCCGCUCUGACUGAUACCAUCCAUCAGCUUACACAGAAAUGAAGAAGGAGCUCAUGACGAAGAGCUUUCAAUGCAAGAGUUUCUCAUUGAGAUUGUACACAUCUGCAUGACUAGUCUGCCACAUCCUGAAUUACAUAACAAUUGCCUCUACCCUCAGUUCAUGUCCAAGCACCGCCCUUGAGCCCACUCAUAGACCAUCCCACAUGAAGUAAACAGGGCUCUAUGCCAGCUUCAGAUUUUA